GAUGAACGCUGGCGGCGUGCCUAAUACAUGCAAGUCGAGCGAACAGACGAGGAGCUUGCUCCUCUGACGUUAGCGGCGGACGGGUGAGUAACACGUGGAUAACCUACCUAUAAGACUGGGAUAACUUCGGGAAACCGGAGCUAAUACCGGAUAACAUGUUGAACCGCAUGGUUUAACAGUGAAAGACGGUCUUGCUGUCACUUAUAGAUGGAUCCGCGCCGCAUUAGCUAGUUGGUAAGGUAACGGCUUACCAAGGCAACGAUGCGUAGCCGACCUGAGAGGGUGAUCGGCCACACUGGAGCUGAGACACGGUCCAGACUCCUACGGGAGGCAGCAGUAGGGAAUCUUUCGCAAUGGGCGAAAGCCUGACGGAGCAACGCCGCGUGAGUGAAGAAGGUCUUCGGAUCGUAAAACUCUGUUAUUAGGGAAGAACAAAUGUGUAAGUAACUAUGCACGUCUUGACGGUACCUAAUCAGAAAGCCACGGCGAACUACGU
rnacentral:rRNA from 1 species